AUGAAGGGGAGAAGGCGGCCGGCGCGUGGCGAGGCGACGGAGCAGGCGGCCGGGGGUGAGGAUGUCGCCGUCGCCGUCGCAAGAUUGAGGAGGGGAAGAUGGGGGGACGCGGUGCGGGCUGUGUCGUUUGUCGGAUUAAUGCGAGGGGGGUUUUCACAAAUUGUCAUGGCGGACAACUUUUAUCGGACGGAGGGAGUACAGGUCCGCCCGGCCUCGGCGCACAGCAUGUCGGAGCCGGCAAAUCGAGAGCUUUGCAGAGAAGGGGAUCCAUUUCCUCUUGAUCUCCCCUCCCCUCCCCCCUCGUCGGGAUCAGGCAACGCGGACGAAGAAAGGCGGCGAUAUGAAGGGGAGAAGGCGGCCGGCGCGUGGCGAGGCGACGGAGCAGGCGGCCGGGGGUGA
rnacentral:rRNA from 1 species